AUUGAACGCUGGCGGCAUGCCUUACACAUGCAAGUCGAACGGCAGCGCGGGGCAACCUGGCGGCGAGUGGCGAACGGGUGAGUAACAUAUCGGAACAUACCCUAGAGUGGGGGAUAACGUAGCGAAAGUUACGCUAAUACCGCAUACGCACUAAGGUGGAAAGUGGGGGAUUCGCAAGAACCUCAUGCUCAUGGAGUGGCCGAUAUCUGAUUAGCUAGUUGGUGAGGUAAAGGCUCACCAAGGCGACGAUCAGUAGCUGGUUUGAGAGAACGACCAGCCACACUGGAACUGAGACACGGUCCAGACUCCUACGGAGGCAGCAGUGGGGAAUUUUGGACAAUGGGGGCAACCCUGAUCCAGCAAUGCCGCGUGAGUGAAGAAGGCCUUCGGGUUGGUUAAAAGGU
rnacentral:rRNA from 1 species